UUUGGUUCUUGAAUAUGUAUUUUUUACUGAAAAAAUCAUUCAUAAAUUAACAUACAAAAAUGUACAAACACAUGAGUAAAUAAUGUAAUGACAAAGGACUAUAUUCUUGUGAAAAGUGUUUUUUAAAACAUCUUUAGAUUUCAGUGCAAAAAUGUACCCCUGGCACCUCUUAAAACAUAAGAGCAAGCUCAAAAAAUCGUAGUGAUGGAAACAAGCUAGUUCAAUGUCAUCGUCAUUGGUGAGUGGAUACCAUCAGUCCACGUGGCUGUCGUUCAGCUAUAGGUGUCCGUGGUGGAGCGGCUUAGGGGAGGCCCUGUGUUGUCAAUAUGAAUAGCUUUGUGGACACUCCCUCCCCGCCAAAAAAAUCAGUGUGAAAGAAGACUUUUCCUUGCACACUGCAAUCGAAAGGCAAGGCUGAUUUAAGGGGUCAUCCGUUUGGUAGCCUUAAGGAACAUGAUUGCAAGAUGAUUUAAGUUACCCAACUUCCAGCCCUGGAAAGACUUUUUCCUUUUGUCCUCAAGCCAGCAUUUUCUUUGUCAAAUUAGGUGUUGUUAGCUUUCUGCCAGCAUUUGUUCUUACGGCAAAUAUGCUAAUGAAAGGCUUCAAACACGGGCCAUCCCUGACCAAUGAUCAGUCUGCCCUGGCAAAUUCUUCCAAAGGACAUAGUAAUUUUGUCACACUGAAAGCAGCUCACAGCUCUCAGAGAAAGAAGAGGCCAGGCCAGCACGAGGCCUGGGGGCGCAUGGAGGAAGGGGGAAAGAAAUUUUUAUUGCUUUAUGCACCUUACGUCAAAGGAAAACCAAAAGAACUUUGUGUGUCAUAUUCCCUGUGAAGGUCUUUUAAAGCAUGAAAUGCUCAAAACUCUUUUAAAACAUUUAUGAUAACAACUUACCAGCGUGCUCAAGGGCAGGAAUCUGCUCUCUCAUAUGAGCUGGUAAGAGGUUUGCAAUGCGGUUUCUUUUCUAAAUAGCAUCCUCUUCUUCGAAAGAACAAAAACACACAUUAAAAAAACAAGGCCUGGCCAAUCACUCCCACAGCUUGUGGGGAUCAUACGUCCAUGGAACCCACACAUGCAAAAACCCCAACCCACGUGUAUAUACACAAAUAUAGCCCCUACACACACAUCCAUGUAAACCAUGAAAAUUAAGGAAACUGAAGGCAAACAAGGCAAUUAAAAAAAAAAACUAUGAAGUACUCCUCAGAAAGUACUCUUUAGUAUGGAUACAUAAAUAUGUUUUAUGGAAAAGGAUGGGGGAAACCUGGUAUUCCUCAGAAUUCUGCAGGAGCCAAAGGGAACUAUGAGGUGAGGGAUUUGGCUCAAGGGAAACAGAGAGGCACAAAUUCAAAUGCAAUUUAGAAUCUGACUUCAAAAAAGCACAUGGGGGUGUGAAAGGAGCAUGUGGGCUCCUGUGUCUGUCUGUCCGGCAGCUUUGUUAAGCUAAUCCCAAAGCUCUGAUUUGGUCUAGCCUGGAUCCCAGUUGACCCGCAGCACACAAGUGUCACCUGCUCCCUGGCUAAGUUCCACAUCAUUCAGUUGCUCAUGAUUCUAUAUAUUGGGCUGGCCAAGAAGUUCAUUUGGGCUUUCCCAUACGAUGGUACAGAAUGACCCAAGCAAGCUUUUUG
ensembl:lncRNA